rnacentral:lncRNA from 1 species
GCAAACUUUGGGGAGGGCUACACACACCCCGUCCCCCUCAGGGGGGAAAAGCGGCCCGCCUGCUGGCCCUGGGAAGGCCAGAGGGCACGAGCCGGGCGUCGGUCCACCCCUCCAGACGCGCGCGCAAGGGCGCAAGGGCGCGCGCCCGCACCCACCUCCCCGCCCCGCGCGCGCGAGGAAGAAACUUUUGGACUCACCAGGGACCAGAGCCGCCAGGAGAAGAGGGCGUCGAAGAAGAGCGGGAACCCCCCCCCCAAGAGGAGGGGAGCGGAGGCCGGGAAAGGACCCGAGCGGGAAGGAUCCUGCGGGAAGACGGGCACAGCCGUGAGAAGAAAGCAGCCGCCCGCUGAGAGAAUCCCCGUCCCUUGCCCGCCCCGACCUGCCUGUUCCGGCCGCCGCCUUGCCCACACCGCUGUCCGGAACCCCUGGGGCUGCCCUCUCCCGGCCUGCUCCCUUCUCCCCCACGGAGGUGCCUGCGGCCAAAGCCCGCGCGCCCCCUUCCCCCUCCCCCGUUACACACACACACCACACAGCGUGCCCGGCUGUCUCCACGCUCCAGCCUCGCCAUCGGCCGCCUCAGACGCCCGGGCUCUGCCGAUGCCCACCCGCUCUUUCCCUCCCCGCUCACUCUGCGCCUCCACCAAGGCUUCCUUGCCUCCCGCGGCAGCCCAGCCGAGGGACGCGGGACGCUGCCAGGCGGCGGUGGGCGGCUGGUUCUCUUUUGCUGCGGCCGCCCCAGCUGCCCCCCUCCCCCGCCCCGGCUCGCUCUUACCUGGGCGAAAGAUCCCCGGCGGGGUGCGGCGCCUCCGAAUCCCAGGCUUUGAGGGAGGCAGGCAGGAAGGCAAGCCAGGUUGCCUCCCGCGGCAGCCCAGCCGAGGGACGCGGGACGCUGCCAGGCGGCGGUGGGCGGCUGGUUCUCUUUUGCUGCGGCCGCCCCAGCUGCCCCCCUCCCCCGCCCCGGCUCGCUCUUACCUGGGCGAAAGAUCCCCGGCGGGGUGCGGCGCCUCCGAAUCCCAGGCUUUGAGGGAGGCAGGCAGGAAGGCAAGCCAGGCCAGG